GAUGAACGCUGGCGGCGUGCCUAAUACAUGCAAGUCGAGCGAACAGACGAGGAGCUUGCUCCUCUGACGUUAGCGGCGGACGGGUGAGUAACACGUGGAUAACCUACCUAUAAGACUGGGAUAACUUCGGGAAACCGGAGCUAAUACCGGAUAAUAUAUUGAACCGCAUGGUUCAAUAGUGAAAGACGGUUUUGCUGUCACUUAUAGAUGGUUCCGCGCCGCAUUAGCUAGUUGGUAAGGUAACGGCUUACCAAGGCAACGAUGCGUAGCCGACCUGAGAGGGUGAUCGGCGACACUGGAACUGAGACACGGUCCAGACUCCUACGGGAGGCAGCAGUAGGGAAUCUUCCGCAAAGGGCGAAAGCCUGACGGAGCAACGCCGCGUGAGUGAUGAAGGUCUUCGGAUCGUAAAACUCUGUUAUUAGGGAAGAACAAAUGUGUAAGUAACUAUGCACGUCUUGACGGUACCUAAUCAGAAAGCCCCGGCUAACUACGUG
rnacentral:rRNA from 1 species